GAUUUCUGGCGUCGUCCCCAGCUGCCGGCCACGGUUUCGUGUGUCAGUGCGGCUGCGGCACGCCAUCCAUCCGCAUUCUCCCGGCGCUGCUCUUCAUUGCGUGGCGUCGUGGGGCGGAUCUUUUACUUUGAAAAAAUUAGAGUGUUUCAAGCAGGCUUAAUGCUAUGAAUACAUUAGCAUGGAAUAAUAAUUUAGGACUUCGGUUCUAUUUUGUUGGUUUCGCGAACUGAAGUAAUGAUUGAUAGGGAUAGUUGGGGGUGCUAGUAUUCAGCGGCCAGAGGUGAAAUUCUCGGAUUCGCUGAAGACUAACUUAUGCGAAAGCAUU
rnacentral:rRNA from 1 species